CGUUUCUCAAAUAUUUGUGUACGCGUAUAAAAUGUUGAAAAUGUCGGAUUGUUGAUAGGUUUCGCAAGUUACAGAAUCUACGUACAAUUUGAUACAUCUGUUGGUUGGAAGAACUUGGUUUGAACUUUUAUUUGUUUUACUCCGGUCUUGUAUUUUCAAGACAUUGACUCAAGUUGAACUGGUACUUUGACUUUUGACAAUGCGGAGAAAAAGCGACAGAACAAAGGAAAAGGAAAAACCAUCCCCAGAAAAAAAGACAGAGAAAGCAACGAGGCGAUCACGCAGACAUUCCAGGCGGAGGAAGAGGUCAUCAUCAGUUUCUGAUCAUGAUGAAUCUGCUACAGAAGAAAAUGAUACUUCAAUGAAGAGUAGUCAGGAUGAUACGGAAGAAGAACAAAAAGAUAAAAGAGGCAAGGAAGAAGUAGAUCAAGAUAAUACUGAUGUCAAGGAAAAGAAUGUUCAAGAUGAAAUUCCAAAGUUAUCUUCUAGUCGAAGAAAGAAACAGAUUACAGAUGGAACAGGUUCUAAAACUGAAGAAGCUUCCCUAAGUAAUGAUGACUGGAAGGAAGACAAAUCAUUCUGGGAAGGUGAAGAAGGCAAAUGUGAAGGCACUGAACUAAGACAUAAAGAAAAGGAUGGGAAGAGUUCUGUGUGGCAAGUGAAGAGUUCCAAUGACAGUGGAAGUAGUGGUGGUGGUGGUGAAAUACAAAAAAUUAAAUUAUGUAUAGUGAGACCAUCAGAAAGCUUGGAACCAAGCCCACGCAGACGAAAAAGAUUGAGUAGAAUGUCAAGCAGUCACAAAGAUAAAUCAGACAUUCAAGAAUGUGAAGAAGCAGAUGAUGAUCAUGGAGAAGAUGACAAGAAAAUGUCAGAAUCAUCAGAAGGAAAGCAAAAUUUGCAGGAAUCGUCAACUGAAUGUACAAAACAGAUACCAUUACAGGAUGAUGAAAAGCUGUCAUUGAGAGAAUGUACUGAACAGGCAGAUUUGUUGGAGGAGGCAUCACAACAUCUUUGUCAAGAUUUGUCUGAAGAGGGGCAGCAAACAAGGUUACAAAAUCAGGAUCAGGCUGAGGUAGUUAAUGAAAUAGUAGAUCAAGAAUCAAGAGAAAGUGAACUAAAUGUCCAAGACUCUGAUGUUAAAGAAGUUACACCAUUUCAAACAUCAUCUGAAUUUAAAGGUGAUAUUUCAUCUGAGACUUCUGGAGAGCAUCACACAGCCCAGAAAUUAUGUGAUAGGACAGUGCAACAUGAGAACUCUAAAGAAGAUAUAUCAAGUGGUGAAACACGAUCAGAAGAAUGUGUAAUGGAACAAAAAGAAAUGGAAGUGGAAGAGUCUUGCAAAGGAAAGCAGUUGGAUCAUGUUGCACCCAAGGAACUACAGAAGGAAGAAGAAGAAGGAAAACUGGACCUUCACAAUGCAGCAGAAACAGGGUCUCAGGAGGAGUUACAAAAUGUUGAGGAUUCCUCAAAAACAGUAGUGGAAGAUAAUGAAGUAAUAGUUCAGAAGUCAGAAGUUCAUGAUGCUGAAGAAGAUAAAAACAUGGCUUGUGCAGAACAGGAACAAGAUUUCACUUGUGCUUCAACUGAAGGGGAUGGAAUAUCCAUAGAAGAAGUGGUAGAAAAUAGUACAUCUGAGGAAAGACAGAAAUCAAAAAAUUCUUUGGAAGGUAGAACAGAAGAACCACAAGAAGUUGCUGAAAAGAUUGAUUCAUUUGAAGAGAGGUUAGUUGCUCAUAAAGUUGCAGAUCCUCUAGAAGAGGGACAGGUUCGAGAAUCAUCAGAGGAAAAUGCUGCUGAAGUGUCAAAAUCAGAGGUAAAAGUUAAUGACACACAUUCAAAAGAGGGCACUAAAGAUUUGUCAAAGGACAGAUCAAACAAACAAACUCCAAUAAAACGUGUUUUCCUGGAAGAAAGGUCCCGGUCUCGUGACUCAUCUGAGGAGAGACCAAGAAAUGAAAUGAAGAAACGUAGACAAAGCAGAGAAUCAAAUAGUAGCUGUAGCUUCAGCUCCAGUCCUGGGAAGCAGACACAUCGAAGGGGUGAUAGGGAGUCUAAUCAUCGGAGUAGGAUUCAGGACAAUGAACAUUCGGAUAAACAUAAUAUGAAGAGGGAGAACAACAGGAGCACUAGUUCUGAUAGACAAUAUGGCCGGCACACUCGUAGGAGGUCUCAGACUCCUCAGCAUCAAAGGGAGAAAAUUUCACUCAGGAGAUCUUUCUCAAGGCAAAGUAAUUCACAUGCAGGAGAGAAGGGUGGUACUGAAGACUCAGUGAAAGAAGUUGAUGCAUUGGGUGGUGAUACUCACUUACACAUCAAAGAAGAAAAAGAAAAUGUCCGGAAGACAUCAGAACAAACAGGGACAUCUCAGGAACCAUCUCAAAAUUUAACCCGUAGGCGCAGAUGGGGAGCUGGCAAAACAAGCAGAGCUGGGAAGAAGCCAGUACUGUCUAUAUCAACAGACUCCCUGAAGAACUUAAUUCCAGGAGCAAAGCCAGUUCCUGUAAAUGAGGUGCAGUUAUCUCAGGAGGAGGAAGAUAGGCGAGAAAGAGAAUCUGAAGAGCAUGAGAGAGAUGAAAGUGAUAAAAGGGAGAAGUCAAAAAAUAAAGACAAGGAUAGAGAUACUCAAGAAAUUGUAUUGGAUAAAAGAUGUAUGGCUCCCUUGUCUGUUUCAGAAGCUCAUAAGAUCAAUGUGGCUCUAACUGAUGAUCAUAGAGGUAAAGUUGUCACCCGCAAGAUAUCAAUUGUGUCGGAUGAUGCAAGGACACUGCAAAACUCACCAAGUCCACCAAGACAUAAAGCAUCAAAUGUUUUGUUUAUUUCAAACUUGGUGCGUCCUUUCACUGUUAAUCAGCUCAAGGAACUUUUGGCUCGUACUGGCAAUAUUGUUGAAGGUGGAUUCUGGAUAGAUAAAAUCAAGUCAAAGUGCUAUGUUCAGUAUGAAACAGAAACUGAAGCACGAGAGACCAGGCAUGCCCUUCAUGGAGUUCGAUGGCCUGUGUCAAAUCCAAAACAACUUUGUGUCGAUUUUGGCAAGAAAGAAGACAUGGACUUGGCACAAGCACUGACUGAAGAGGACCAGAUACCAAGAAAAACAGAGCCACUUAAAGUGGAGCGGACUGUCGAAGGUUGGGUUGCUGAGCAAGUCAGGGAGAAGGAGAGAGAGUGGGAAUUGAGGGAGCAGGAGCGAGAAAGGGCACGGAUGAAGGAAAGACCUCAUCAUGUCAUUCCUCCCAUGGAAGCACUUGAACGAAAUAGGAAUGUGAAGAUGUCGGCGAGUGUCAGAGAAUGGGACUUGGGUAAAAUAGGUCAGUUGUCACCUGCUGAGAAAGAACCAAAGCAUGAAGAGAAAAACAAAGAACGAGAAAGAAGAGUGCGGAGAGAGAAAACUCGCCAUAGCAGAAGCCCUUCCCCUCAUAAUGUACCUGCUCGGAAACAAAAAAAGAAGGAAGAAGAUGCUCCUGCAAAACUCUUGGAUGAUUUAUUUAGAAAGACUAAAUCCACUCCCUGCAUUUACUGGCUACCUCUCACUGCCGAACAGAUUGUUGUGAAGGAAGAGAUGCGCCGUAGGCAUAUGGCUGAACAUGAGCGCAGAAUGGCUGAGAUGAGGAAGGCAGAGAGAGAACGUCAACGCGUUAGAGCUCAGCAACGCCAACAGAGGCGAACAGGAGAGAGGGAUAAACGAAGAAGAAGGACUGCUAGUGGCAGUCCUAAGAAAUAAUUCAGUGAUAGAAAGUACUUGAAUAGUCAUAUGAAGAGUUAGUUGCAUGAUGCAACAUGGGAGUGACGAGAGGCGUGCGACUAGAUCUACCGAGCCGUCUUGGAACUUGAUACCAUCCCCUUGGCAUAUUCGGAAUUAUAACUGCCAAGGAGUCAGUUACGUCAGCUCAUGCUCGGCAGUUUUUGCAAAAUGGCAGUACAACAGGCAUCCUGGUGCACAGGGCUUGGGGGGAUCGAACAAUACAAAACCAAGGGAGGUAUUAAACAUGAGCGAUCUCCAUAACCAAGGAUCAACAUAUACAAGAAAUUUGUGAAGGAUUCUACAGUAAUGUCCAUGAACUUGGGGUAGUGGCUGCAGAGGACAUGAUCACUCAGCGACAUCUUGGGUAUUUCUCGUUGACAGUGAAGGUGUUUCAAGAACAUUUACUAUUGAUUGGUGUGCAGCAAAGAGAUUAAGUAUGUACUGUUGUCAUCCUGUUUAUGAGAACUGCAACAUUGCAAAGUAAUGUCAGAAGAAUCAUUUGCAUAAAUUGCUGUUGAAUCAUCAGAGAAGAUGAAGACCUUCAAUCAUAACCAAGUGUACCUAAAGAACAGUUGGCGUUUGUGCAUAUUAGAGAAUGUACACCCUGUGAAAUUUAUGCUUAUGAUCAAGUACAUGUAAUCUGUCUUUUAUUUUGAGCAAUGUAGAUUUACAGUGCAUUUCAAUAGAAUUGUGUUACUACACCCAAA